UAAAUCAUACAAAGUUGUUAUCUACUUUCUAUAUCAGCAAAUUGAUAAUUAGACAGAUUUUGCCGUAACUUGAACUGAUUGGGAAAUUCAUGUCCUGCGGCGAUACGGCUCCUCUUAGAUUAAGGAUUGGUCUCCUAAGCGGCUCCUGUAAUACGCUGCUGACCGCCACAGCAUCGCUUCCUCAUGCCUCUAUUUUAAAGGGGCCCUUGAAUGGGGUAUCCCUUAAUGCAAUAUUUAGCAAAUAUAUAUAGUAAUUAUAUUUGUUAGAAGUAUUAAAAACCUUAUUUAGAAAUAUUUCUCUAAAGUCGUAAACAGUAUUAAUAAUAGGUAGGUAUAUUGCAAUAACUGCAAGGUGGUCCUAAAGACAAAACUUUCUAUAAUUACAUAUAUAUCUUAUUCUUCCUAUUACAUAUUCUGUAAUAUAUUAUUAUACUACUAUAUUAUAUUCUCUACUAUAUUUAUACCUACUUGCAAAAUGUGAAUACUUACUUUUUAGAUAUUUAUAGUUCUGUAAUCUUUCGUAUUAAUUAUUAACGAUCCUCAAAACCUCAAGCCAGGAGUAAAUUUGGUCAUUCAUUUCUUUCGGGCUGAAAAUGUGUACAAUAGUAUUAUUAUGCACAAUGUGCGUUAGCUGCAUAUCCUUUGUGGGUUGAGCUGCAGUGAUUUUAAACUUUUAAGGGCUUACUUAUGUAGGUAACUCGAAAAAAAAUAAUUUUGACAUUUUGUGAGAUUAUAGAAAACCAGUAUAAUACCUAGUUAACAUGAAUUAAAAAGGAAGAAAUGAUGGAAGAAAUUUGCACCUGGCUCUUGGAACAUAAAUGGAUAGGUAUGUAAUGAAAUAAAUGUGUUUAUUGUU